UACACAGAGAGAGAGAGAGAGAGAGAGAGAGAGAGAGAGAGAGAGAGAGAGAGAGAGAGAGACCAUUUUUCUUCUAGAGAAUGUUGUGCAGUAUUAGGUGGUAGAUAAAAGUAGUACCCCGUUGGACUUUAUAUACAGUUGACCUGAUGUAAAUGUUUUCAGUUAUUUUUUUGUGCGUCUAUUUUGUAUUCUUCUUCUUCCGUCAUAUCAAUCGAAAUUCCAUCUGUUGCUA